rnacentral:rRNA from 14 species
CCUAGUACGAGAGGACCGGAGUGGACGAACCUCUGGUGUUCCGGUUGUGAUGCCAAUUGCAUUGCCGGGUAGCUACGUUCGGACAGGAUAACCGCUGAAAGCAUCUAAGCGGGAAGCCUCCCUCAAGAUGAGCUCUCCCUGAAGAACCCAAGAAGACUACUUGGUCGAUAGGCAGGACGUGCAAGCGCAGCAAUGUGUUUAGCGAACCUGUACUAAUCGUUCGUUUGG